UAUAGUGAGUUUUUUGUGCUCUCUCUCUCUCUCUCUCUAUAUAUAUAUAUUGAUGUGCCUGUUUGGGUAAUGACCAAUAUAAUGAUGAUACAUAACAUUUAUUACAUCAUUAUGAUGCGUCGUUUGAUUAAGCAUUGGCAAGAGGGGUUGUGUGGUUUGAAAUAUUGACAUAGUUUGACUCUUCAUUGAUAUUUGCUGUAUCUCGGUUUAAUGUAAUGAAAUCUAAUUAACUUCUUAUUGGCGUACUUGAAUAUGUGAUACACACACUAUACGUUAAAUUGAUUAUUUUUUACAUGAGUUUCAAAAGGUUGAUAUUUUUAACAUGUAAGUUGGGUUCUAGAAGUGGCUUUAUUUGGUGCUAUCAAUUUUUUGCCUCAGUACUUUUUUCUAAAAAAUAAUUAAAGUGGAAUUUCUCUUCUCCAGGGAGAUUUUUUCAAGGUCUUUAGUGGUCAAGGUAUUCUGGUCAUCAGUAUUUUUUCUUUAUUGAGUUAGAGUUCAGUUUUCUCUUAAUUAUGUGAAACAUAUUAUGGAACAUAAUAACGUAGAAUCACAUGCACCUCCGGAGAAAUUCAGAUUACACCCUUAGCAUUGUAAAGCUUCUUUGUAUAUUGAAUGAACCUUAAUUGGCUUUGAAGAAAUUGUUGUGUUGGAAACUAAAGAUUCCAGAACAGUAAACAUAAAACCCAAUAGACAGACACUUCAAAAGAGUUUUGUUGGUUCUUUAACUCUCAAAGAUACUGUGUUGCAUUUUGUCAUUUAUGGGGACACUUUAAAUUUAGGUGUGUUCAUAGUUAUAGGUGCUUGCCUCACUGCCUGAGGCAUUGAAGCAAGGUGCUGAAGAAGUGCUGACUCUCACAUCAUGAGAUAUGUUGGCUUCAAUUGUGACACUUAUAUUAGCAUCAGCAAAGGCAAGCACCUGAGGUAUCUUGAUAUAUAGUUGAAUGGCUGAAAUAAGAAAUAAGAUUAAAUUAGAAAGUAUUGCUUUGAAAGUAUGAUGGGUAUUUAAAUGUGGUGGGAAACCCUCUCCAAAAAAUGCUAGCUAUAGUAAUGGGAGAAUUAACUCAUGUAAAUGCCUCGUUAAACAUCUCAUACUAGUAAAAGUGGGACAUAGUCAUCCAUACUAUCCGAGUCUCUGUCAGAAUAAGGUUUAUAUAAUUUUCAUUCUCACUCAAAAAAAUAGUGAUGCAACUAGUUUUUUGGGGUUUUGUUAACAGACAAGCAAAACAAAGCUUUUAUUUCUUUUUCUUUUUUUAGAACUAAGAAAAAAUCACAGGAGAACUCUACAACGAUCCUAGUUGAUGAAUCAAAGUCUCUAUUCCUCUUGGCAAUUUUUUUUUAUCAAUCUUUAAAUGCCAAGGAACCUAACUGCCUUUAACAAGCCAAUCCACACGAGCUUUCCCCUCCCGCAUGGUAUGGCAAGCUCUGAGUACUUUGCAAAAGAUAGCAUUGGAUGUGUUUCCAGCAUGAUAAGAAACAACAAGCAGCGGGGUCGACUGCAUGAUCGCACAGUACCAUUUGUGCUCUAGCUAUCAACAAACAACUCUCUGAAAAUAUUGCCAGCAAAAAAUUGUGCUCUAUCAAGCAUGAUAACAAAGGGCAGGGAAAAUGUGUGAGCUUCAAGCAUUGCUAUCUGUCCCAUUUCAGUAGUUCAUUUGGGUUGGGGCCGAAAGAAACAGUUGAAUAAUGCAAAUGUUGCUGGCUAUUGGCUUCUGCAUUAUAGAGUGGGGAAAUCCUUUGAAUGAAAGAUGAUGAUGGAUUCAUAUGAAGUUAAUCAACAAAUGACAAUGGAUUACAGGUAGGUUAGUUUUAAGAUUCAUUAUAGGAGGCAAGGUUCUUUCUCCUUAAAUGACAACUGUAUCGUUAGGUUUAAGAUUAGUACCCUUACUGUUGUUCAUUUGACCAAGAACGAUUACAAAUUGCUUGUUAUUUUGGCUAGGGUUUUAGUAUAUUACAUGGGUAUUUAGGUUUCAAAGUGAUUUAGAAUUCAUGUUAAGCUUGUGGCUCAAAAAGUAUUUACAGAUGUAUUUAUAGAUUACUUACCAACUAGUAGGUAGGAUUGAUGAGUUGCAAGAUGUCUCAUCGAAUUAUAUUGUUAAUAGGCCGUGAAUAUUACGAUUCUAUAGAUUUGAUUAGGUCUUCACGGCAAGACCGGAAUCCUUGUUUCA